rnacentral:rRNA from 1 species
UACGGAGGGUGCAAGCGUUACUCGGAAUCACGGGGCGUAAAGGGCGCGUCGGCGGCCUAGCAAGUCUGGUGUGAAAGCCCAGGGCUCAACCCUGGAAGGGCACUGGAAACUGUUAGGCUUGAGUUCCGGAGAGGAGGGGGGAAUUCCCGGUGUAGCGGUGAAGUGCGUAGAUAUCGGGAGGAAUACCGGUGGCGAAGGCGCCCCUCUGGACGGAAACUGACGCUGAGGCGCGAAAGCGUGUGGAGCAAAUAGG